GAAUUAGUUUAAAGAGUGCAUUAUGCGGAAAGCAAACAGACCAAAACACUUACAACCAAAAUUGCACAGCCUAUUAGACAUCCUUUGAUGUAGACAUCCAGGUCAACGGGAAAUGAGACGCUGAUGGACUUCGCGACUCGUAUCUCGCCCAUUGUAUUGCCUGCCUUUGUUUUCACCUGAAAAGGGUGUGAAGUUUUACUUAUGCAUUCCACAAUGCCAUGACUACACAAUGCACCAAGAGCCCUAUUGACAAUCCAUCGGGCAGCGGCUACUGCUGUAGGACAAUGCACCUGUCAGUAGUACAUCAAGAACGAAGACGCAACAGUGCAACGAAAAUACAGAGAACACUUCCUGAGCCAUCCAAAAAAGGACUCAAGUGGGUCUGAGGACAUUUUUCUGCAGGUUACGUUCCUCUGUCUCGAUUAUGAGUGUUGCUAACUUGCCCAGACAUACCAUGAUGAUGUCACACCUGACGUCCCAGGGUGUCCAGAAGUGGUGAUCACAAGAAGAAAGGUGGAGCCACCUAGUGUGAUGCCUUAGAACUGUGUAGCCAACCACCUGCCUCUGUGCUCCGUCACCCCAACGAUGCUGGACACAAUGACGCUAAGAACACACCGGACAACAGGUUUUCAACGAGCGCGACCCCAGACCUUUCUGGAACUCCAAGGCUCUGACACGUAAUCUCCCCGGCCGAUGACCCAGGAACCUUCCGGAAUCUUCCAGAACAUGACUCACUGACGACUGCCUCGCAGUGGAAUUGUACCGGCUGUGACGACACCUUUGUAACCUUUUAAAAGACCUUGUACAUAGAUUUUCGUCUCAGUCCCGAAGAAGGGGGAGCAUCCGCCGAAACAUAGACUUCCCCCCUUAGUUUAAAUGCCAGUUUAAUAAAUAACUUUCCCCCAC